AGCGAACGCUGGCGGCAGGCCUAACACAUGCAAGUCGAACGAACCUUUCGGGGUUAGUGGCGGACGGGUGAGUAACACGUGGGAACGUGCCUUUAGGUUCGGAAUAACUCAGGGAAACUUGUGCUAAUACCGAAUGUGCCCUUCGGGGGAAAGAUUUAUCGCCUUUAGAGCGGCCCGCGUCUGAUUAGCUAGUUGGUUGAGGUAAUGGCUCACCAAGGCGAAGAUCAGUAGCUGGUCUGAGAGGAUGAUCAGCCACAUUGGGACUGAGACACGGCCCAAACUCCUACGGGAGGAAGCAGUGGGGAAUCUUGCGCAAUGGGCGAAAGCCUGACGCAGCCAUGCCGCGUGAAUGAUGAAGGUCUUAGGAUUGUAAAAUUCUUUCACCGGGGACGAUAAUGACGGUACCCGGAGAAGAAGCCCCGGCUAACUUCGUG
rnacentral:rRNA from 1 species